rnacentral:lncRNA from 1 species
CCCUGGUGCACUAGGUAGAGCAAUAGGUGGCUGCUUCAUGACAGGAGGCAGCGCAGAUGGGAGUUGAUAGCCUUGUAGUUUUAAUUUGAUAAGUUUCAUAGCUAUUGAAAACUCCAGCUGAUCCAUCCUUCCAUCAUUGUUCAUGUCAGCUAAAGCCCAUAUCUGUGCUAACACCGGCUGAGGUAACCCAGACUGAAAAAAAAAGUUUCUAGCUUGAUCACCAGUGAUAAAUCCAGAUGUUGGUUUCAGACUGUGGAACUGUUGAUCAUGUUUAGCUCUCUCCUCCACAGUAAUAGCCCAGAUAUCCAGGUUGCCCCCAAAAGGUGUUGGAAACUGAGCCAUGGUUCUUUCACUUUUAGCUUAUUAAUGGAUGCCUCAUAUCUGCGCGGGCCGCCGGGCCCCGCUCACACCCAUGGCGACGGCGGGGGGGAUGGAGGAGCCGGAGCGGCGCCCGCCACCGCCUCCGCCAGGCGCACCAUCCCCUCCCGCUGCCUCCUCAGCCGCCGUCUGGCGGGCGGCGAGGGGAGGAGCCCACACCGCGCUCGC